rnacentral:rRNA from 1 species
UACGUAGGGUGCAAGCGUUGUCCGGAAUUAUUGGGCGUAAAGAGCUCGUAGGCGGUUUGUCGCGUCUGCUGUGAAAACUCGGGGCUUAACUCCGGGCCUGCAGUGGGUACGGGCAGACUAGAGUGCGGUAGGGGAGACUGGAAUUCCUGGUGUAGCGGUGAAAUGCGCAGAUAUCAGGAGGAACACCGAUGGCGAAGGCAGUGAUCUGGGCCAGUACUGACGCUGAGGAGCGAAAGCGUGGGGAGCGAACAGG